AUUGAACGCUGGCGGCAUGCCUUACACAUGCAAGUCGAACGGCAGCAUGAGUGCUUGCACCUGAUGGCGAGUGGCGAACGGGUGAGUAAUGCAUCGGAACGUACCCGGAAGUGGGGGAUAACGUAGCGAAAGUUACGCUAAUACCGCAUAUUCUGUGAGCAGGAAAGAGGGGGAUCGCAAGACCUCUCGCUUUCGGAGCGGCCGAUGUCGGAUUAGCUAGUUGGCGGGGUAAAGGCCCACCAAGGCAACGAUCCGUAGCGGGUCUGAGAGGAUGAUCCGCACACUGGGACUGAGACACGGCCCAGACUCCUACGGGAGGCAGCAGUGGGGAAUCUUGGACAAUGGGCGCAAGCCUGAUCCAGCCAUGCCGCGUGAGUGAAGAAGGCCUUCGGGUUGUAAAGCUCUUUCAGCUGGAAAAAAAUCGCCUCACCUAAUACGUGGAGUGGAUGAUGGUACCAGCAGAAGAGGCACCGGCUAACUACGUGCCAGCCGCCGCGGUAA
rnacentral:rRNA from 1 species